UGGGGAAUAUUGCACAAUGGGGGAAACCCUGAUGCAGCGACGCCGCGUGAAGGAAGAAGUAUCUCGGUAUGUAAACUUCUAUCAGCAGGGAAGACAAUGACGGUACCUGACUAAGAAGCCCCGGCUAACUACGUGCCAGCAGCCGCGGUAAUACGUAGGGGGCAAGCGUUAUCCGGAUUUACUGGGUGUAAAGGGAGCGUAGACGGAGCAGCAAGUCUGAUGUGAAAAGGCGGGGGGCUCAACCCCCGGCAGCUCGCAUUGGAAAACUGUUUGAUCUUGAGUACCGGAGAGGUAAGCGGAAUUCCUAGUGUAGCGGUGAAAUGCGUAGAUAUUAGGAGGAACACCAGUGGCGAAGGCGGCUUACUGGACGGUAACUGACGUUGAGGCUCGAAAGCGUGGGGAGCAAACAGGAUUAGAUACC
rnacentral:rRNA from 1 species